rnacentral:rRNA from 1 species
GUGUCAGGGCAGCUUGCUGUUUGGUGACGCAGCUAACGCAUUAAGCACCCCGCCUGGGGAGUACGUUCGCAAGAUAAAACUCAAAGGAAUGACGGGGGCCCGCACAAGCGGUGGAGCAUGUGUUUAAUUNGACGCAACGCGCAGAACCUUACCAACCCNUGACAUCCCGGUCGCGAUUUCCAGAGAUGGAUUUCUUCAGUUCGGCUGGACCGGAGACAGGUGUUGCAUGGCUGUCGUCAGCUCGUGUCGUGAGAUGUUGGGUUAAGUCCCGCAACGAGCGCAACCCUCGCCUUUAGUUGCCAUCAUUUAGUUGGGCACUCUAGAGGGACUGCCGGUGAUAAGCCGGAGGAAGGUGGGGAUGACGUCAAGUCCUCAUGGCCCUUACGGGUUGGGCUACACACGUGCUACAAUGGCGGCGACAAUGGGCAGCGAAGGGGCGACCCGGUGCAAAUCCCAAAAAGCCGUCUCAGUUCGGAUUGUACUCUGCAACUCGAGUGCAUGAAGGUGGAAUCGCUAGUAAUCGCGUAACAGCAUGACGCGGUGAAUACGUUCCCGGGCCUUGUACACACCGCCCGUCACACCAUGGGAGUUGGUUUUACCCGAAGCUGGUGCGCUAACCGCAAGGAGGCAGCCAACCACGGUAAGGUCAGCGACUGGGGUGAAGUCGUAACAAGGUAGCCCUAGGGGAACCUGGGGCUGGAUCACCUCCUUAAGCUUGGAUUCCCGGG